rnacentral:rRNA from 1 species
AGAUGGCGACCGGCGCACGGGUGAGUAACACGUAUCCAACCUGCCGAUAACUCGGGGAUAGCCUUUCGAAAGAAAGAUUAAUACCCGAUGGUAUAAUCAGACCGCAUGGUCUUGUUAUUAAAGAAUUUCGGUUAUCGAUGGGGAGUGCGUUCCAUUAGGCAGUUGGUGAGGUAACGGCUCACCAAACCUUCGAUGGAUAGGGGUUCUGAGAGGAAGGUCCCCCACAUUGGAACUGAGACACGGUCCAA